GUCCCUGUAGCUUAAACCAAAGCAUGGCACUGAAGAUGCCAAGAUGGACCCUUUUUCCCAAGGAC
rnacentral:tRNA from 1 species